GGUACAUCAUCUUUGUAAAAUUAUCAAUAAAAUUAAUAGAUAAAAAUUUAAUUUAAGAAUAAAUGAUUAAGUUAUUAAAUUAUAAAAAAAUUUAGAUGUGUAAUCUGAUAUGUCGGAUCCUUAUACUGCCGGCAUAUAGUAGUCCAAUCAUUUAUGAUGAUGCUGUCAUAAGGCUGCUGUCGUGCUGCCUCUUCUCCAUGAUCCUGCACCACCCGAUACCAAUGCUAAUGCAUG
rnacentral:lncRNA from 1 species